rnacentral:rRNA from 1 species
GACGAACGCUGCCGGCGUGCUUAACACAUGCAAGUCGAGCGGAGCGGCGAACGGGUGAGUAACGCGUGAGUAACUGCCCCCCUCUCUGGGAUAACAGUUGGAAACGGCUGCUAAUACCGGAUAGUGGGGGAUGAGGCGCGUCCUAUCGGCUUGGUGGUGGGGUAGUGGCCUACCAAGGCGACGACGGGUAGCCGGCCUGAGAGGGCGACCGGCCACAGUGUGCAGGGGUACGGCCAAAACGCCAACGGGGGGCAGGGGUGGGAAAUAUUGCGCGAAAGGGGAAGCCAGGGUGCAGCGACGCCGCGUGCGGGAUGACGGCCUUCGGGUUGUAAACCGCUUUCGGCCAUGACGCGGUAGUGGCAGAAGAAGCACCGGCUAACUACGUGCCAGCAGCCGCGGUAAUUC